rnacentral:rRNA from 1 species
GGGGAAUAUUGGACAAUGGAGGAGACUCUGAUCCAGCAAUUCUGUGUGCACGAAGAAGGUUUUCGGAUUGUAGAGUGCUUUCAGCAGGGAAGAAGGAAGUGACGGUACCUGCAGAAGAAGCGACGGCUAAAUACGUGCCAGCAGCCGCGGUAAUACGUAUGUCGCGAGCGUUAUCCGGAAUUAUUGGGCAUAAAGGGCAUCUAGGCGGUAUAUCAAGUCAGGGGUGAAAACUUACGGCUCAACCGUGAGCUUGCCUUUGAAACUGAGAUACUGGAGUACCGGAGAGGUGGGCGGAACUACACGAGUAGAGGUGAAAUUCGUAGAUAUGUGUGGGAAUGCCGAUGAUGAAGAUAGCUCACUGGACGGCAACUGACGCUGAAGUGCGAAAGCUAGGGGAGCGAGC